AAAUUAUAUUACCCCUUGAUAGGAAGGUACACACACUCACACUACAUAACUAGGUUCCCCUGCAAACCUCUCCUCCUCUUGCAUGACAAGAGGUUACCUGUGCCACUCAGAGAGGCCAAGACUGAGUAUUUAGACCCACUGUUGAACCUGUGUGCUUCAGUGAUGAUGGCUUUAUAUUACUUCAUCUAUUGGCAGGGCUGGAAACUUAAAUCCUCAGGCACAAAGGAGCUGGUGGAGAAGGUGAGAGUGGAGAUGCAGAAAAUGCUGAAAAUAGGGUCUCAAAUGCUAAAUAUUUUUAAUGUUACAGACUUAGAAAACUUUCUGAACAACAUGGCACCAUGACAUGUUAAUAUGUUCUGAAGACUGGAAGUCCCAACCACACAUCAAAGAGGUGAUGUAGGAAGGAUCUAGAUUCAGGAAUGACUUGGAAAUCCACAAAGGAGCUUUCAUGCCAAUCCCCACCCCUAGGAAAUGUUCCCAGACCAGUAACCCAUCCCACACAGCACCCAGGAAAUUACCGCUAGAGUAAUUACUCAUAUAGCCUGACUGGUGAGCAACAGGAAGGGAGGGAAGCAGUAGACACGCUCCCUGUAGAUAGCAGGUUGAUUAAACUUGGACAUGAACAGUGGGACCCGAGUCUGUUCUUCCCUAUGUUCUAGUUGCAUGUCUGUGGCUGUUACAAAAACACUGUGAAUCCAUUAUUCAGGGGGAAGUCAAGGCAGAAGCACAAAGCAUCACACCUAAAGUCAAGAACGGAGAGAAUAAACUCACGAAUCCUUGCUUGCUUGCUCUCAGCUGCCUUGCUCCUGUUUUAUACUACUCAGGACCUUCUGCCUAGGGAAUGGUGUCACCCACAGUGGUCUGGGUCUUCCCACAUCCAUUAGAAAUCUAAACAAUCACCACAGAUGAGUCCAAAGGCCACCUAAACUAGACAAUCCCUCAGCAACACUCUCUUCUCAGGUGAGCAAACAGGCUCUCCUUCCAAACACAAAGAUGGAGCUUCUGUCUUUGAAAUUUGUGUGCAUUUUCCUCUGAGUUGAAAUUCAGAGAUAAUUCAAAAGGUGUUCUGCUUUCUUCAGAUGUGCACAUACAGGUACUCACAAAUGUAUGAACACAAGUACAUGCUCUUAGGCAUGUUCACUGCAGUAUAACUUAGACUCAUUAAAAAAAAAACUCAUGAAUUUUGUACAAUCACAGUGCCUAUUUUUAUUUUUAAUUAUUUAUUUUUGUUUAUCAUUGUUGUUAUUUCCUAUUAUUGUUAUUAGUUACUUGUUACGAUAAAUCUUUCUGCCAAAAGCUGCCGAGCCCCUCGGCCAUGUGUGCGCUUUACACCAGCCGCUGGCCUGAGUUAGGGUCCCAAUUAGUCCACAGAGAGACUUGUAUUA
rnacentral:lncRNA from 1 species